AGCAGUAGCCGCGGGAAUACAGAGGGUGCGAGCGUUAAUCGGAUUUACUGGGCGUAAAGCGUGCGUAGGCGGCUUCUUAAGUCGGAUGUGAAAUCCCUGAGCUUAACUUAGGAAUUGCAUUCGAUACUGGGAAGCUAGAGUAUGGGAGAGGAUGGUAGAAUUCCAGGUGUAGCGGUGAAAUGCGUAGAGAUCUGGAGGAAUACCGAUGGCGAAGGCAGCCAUCUGGCCUAAUACUGACGCUGAGGUAGGAAAGCAUGGGGAGCAAACAGGAUUAGAUACCCGGGUAGUCCCUGUCUCUUAUAC
rnacentral:rRNA from 1 species